GGUUGUAUCUCAGUGGUAGAGCACUUGCCUAGCAUGCGUGAGGCACUGGGUUCAAUUCUCAGCACUA
rnacentral:tRNA from 1 species